rnacentral:rRNA from 1 species
GACGAACGCUGGCGGCGCGCCUAACACAUGCAAGUCGAACGAGCGAGAGAGAGCUUGCUUUCUCGAGCGAGUGGCGAACGGGUGAGUAACGCGUGAGGAACCUGCCUCAAAGAGGGGGACAACAGUUGGAAACGACUGCUAAUACCGCAUAAGCCCACGGGUCGGCAUCGACCAGAGGGAAAAGGAGCAAUCCGCUUUGAGAUGGCCUCGCGUCCGAUUAGCUAGUUGGUGAGGUAAUGGCCCACCAAGGCGACGAUCGGUAGCCGGACUGAGAGGUUGAACGGCCACAUUGGGACUGAGACACGGCCCAGACUCCUACGGGAGGCAGCAGUGGGGAAUAUUGCACAAUGGGGGAAACCCUGAUGCAGCGACGCCGCGUGGAGGAAGAAGGUCUUCGGAUUGUAAACUCCUGUUGUUGAGGAAGAUAAUGACGGUACU